AAUUCGCCCUUAGAGUUUGAUCAUGGCUCAGAUUGAACGCUGGCGGCAUGCCUUACACAUGCAAGUCGAACGGUAACAGGUCUUCGGACGCUGACGAGUGGCGAACGGGUGAGUAAUACAUCGGAACGUGCCCAGUCGUGGGGGAUAACUACUCGAAAGAGUAGCUAAUACCGCAUACGAUCUGAGGAUGAAAGCGGGGGACCUUCGGGCCUCGCGCGAUUGGAGCGGCCGAUGGCAGAUUAGGUAGUUGGUGGGAUAAAAGCUUACCAAGCCGACGAUCUGUAGCUGGUCUGAGAGGACGACCAGCCACACUGGGACUGAGACACGGCCCAGACUCCUACGGGAGGCAGCAGUGGGGAAUUUUGGACAGUGGGCGAAAGCCUGAUCCAGCAAUGCCGCGUGCAGGAUGAAGGCCUUCGGGUUGUAAACUGCUUUUGUACGGAACGAAAAAGCUUCUCCUAAUACGAGAGGCCCAUGACGGUACCGU
rnacentral:rRNA from 1 species